UACGAGUGCCCCGAGCGUUAUCCGGAAUCAUUGGGCGUAAAGGGUGUGUAGGUGGCCAUGUUAGUCGUUUGUUAAAGCUCCUGGCUCAACCGGGAAAAUGCGAACGAUACGGCAUGGCUAGAGGAUGCGAGAGGUGUGCGGAACUCAUGGUGUAGGGGUGAAAUCCGUUGAUAUCAUGAGGAACACCAAAGGCGAAGGCAGCACACUGGCGCACUCCUGACACUGAAACACGAAAGCGUGGGUAG
rnacentral:rRNA from 1 species